ensembl:snRNA U1 U1 spliceosomal RNA
AUACUUACCUGGCAGGGGAGAUAAUAUGAUCACAAAAGCAGCUUUCCUAGAGUGAGGCCUAGUCAUUGGAUUCUGGAUCCUGACAAUUUCCCACAAUGUGGGAAACUCAACUGCAUAAUUUGUGGUAUGAGGGGCCAAUUACAUUCUUUCUCCUG